CAACCCUCAAGCCCCAGUGGCCUGGUGUUGGGGACCGGCGACCUCGCCCGGGGGAACACCCCCGGCGCGUCCGCCGCCCCCGAAAUGAAUUGGCGGCCCCGUCGCGGCCUCCUCUGCGUAGUAAGUAGCACAACCUCGCAGCGGGAGCGCGACGCGGCCACUGCCGUAAAACGCCCAACUUUUUUUAG
rnacentral:misc_RNA from 1 species